rnacentral:rRNA from 1 species
AGAGUUUGAUCAUGGCUCAGAAUGAACGCUGGCGGCGUGCCUGAUACAUGCAAGUCGAGCGCGAAAGUGGCCUUCGGGCCGCGAGUAGAGCGGCGGACGGGUGAGUAACACGUGGGUAACCUGCCUUGGAGAGGGGAAUAACUUGGGGAAACCCGAGCUAAUGCCGCAUGAGCUCGCCGGACCUUCGGUGCCGGCGAGGAAAGGUGGCCUAUUCUUGAAAGCUGCCGCUCCAAGAGGGGCCCGCGUCCGAUUAGCUAGUUGGUGGGGUAACGGCUCACCAAGGCUACGAUCGGUAGCCGGCCUGAGAGGGUGAUCGGCCACACUGGAACUGAGACACGGUCCAGACCGCUACGGUGGGCAGCAGUACGGGAUAUUGCGCAAUGGGCGAAAGCCUGACGCAGCAACGCCGCGUGAAGGAUGAAGGCCUUCGGGUUGUAAACUUCUGUCAGGCGGGACGAACGAGCGGCGGUGAAUAGCCGCCGUUUCUUGACGGUACCGCCGGAGGAAGCCCCGGCUAACUCCGUGCCAGCAGCCGCGGUAAUACGGAGGGGGCAAGCGUUAUUCGGAAUUAUUGGGCGUAAAGGGCGUGUAGGCGGCUUGAUAAGCCAAAGGUGAAAUCCCUCAGCUCAACUGAGGAACUGCCUUUGGAACUGU